UCCUUCUCUUUUCCAGAAGUUUUAAGCACAGAUGAAGAUGUUUUACCUGGAUCCUCUGGGUUGGCCCAAGGCCAUGGCCAGAUGGCAGCAGAUUCAAACUCAGAAUACUCCUGUGUGUCUGCAGACAGUGUCAUUCCCUAUGUACUCAAGACGGCAACCCAACAGGAUGCAGCCCAUCCUAAGUCCUCUGCCGUGGUCCCUCCUGGUGGUGAGGCAGCAAAACAACAAUCCUCUGCCUCAGAGUAUUUCUCCUGUUUCUCAACUCUAUCUGAGCUGAUUCGUGCUAAUGAGGAUGAAGUUUUAAACACAUCUGAAGAUGUUUUAUCUGAACCCUCUGGGUUGGCCCAAGGCCAUGGCCAGAUGGCAGCAGAUGCAGUCUCACAAUACUCCUGUGUGUCUGCAGACAAGCUCAUUCGCUGUGGUAUGUGGUGGG
rnacentral:lncRNA from 1 species